GUUCCGGUGACUGCAGGGGUUUUCCCGGUGCUUGGUGUUUCCUCCCCAUCGGCCUUUAAACGCGAAUGUGAUCCUACCAUCAAAGUGAAGUGCAGUCCAGAAUCACCAAACCUAGGCUUCCAGGUGUCUGGAAACACAAUGUUAACAUUUGUUUUGCUCCAAAAUAAAGUGUGACCGUGUCGGACGUUUUAGUCCAGCCCCAAAUUUUGCCUCUGAGCAAGAUUCCCAGGACCUCAUUGGAGCAGUUUACAGCCAGUCUUAUCUCACUAUUAACUUCCAUUUUCUGCUGUAGUACUUAAAGCGACAGAAGUUACUCUUCCUAGAAGUAACUUUUCCAGACGAUUCAAACUGCUGUUGUACAGAGAUUUAAGUAUUUGUGUGCAUGUGUGAAAAUAGAAAUAUAUACUGUAUAUAUUUCAUUUUAUUUCCACUGAUCUGCUUCUCUUUUUAAAAAUAAGGUGGUCUCCUCCACCUUGGGUAAAUCUUUCAGCAUAAUUGAUCAAA
rnacentral:lncRNA from 1 species